ACAAAGGAGAGGUCUGCUGUACUGUUGGAUUCAGAGGGGUAUACAGGGUCACUAAUCAAAAAUGCCUCAGGUGGAGGAAAAAUUUUACUCUACAUCGUACCACUUCAACAUGAGCUUGAUUUGACGCCACUGCCACCAGAUGCAUCUGAAUUUGCACGAAUGCCAAAGGCUCAUUGUAAAAAAAUGCAAUACUUUGAUGCCUCUUCAGACAUUGGCUUUGCAUGCUGAACAGUGUGACAACUUGGAAACUUCUGAAAAUGAGGAAGAUGAUUUGGUGUUGAUAGAGGAGACAAUGUCUUCAAGGCAAAAUAUUGCACCUU
rnacentral:lncRNA from 1 species